CCUACGGGUGGCAGCAGUGAGGAAUAUUGGUCAAUGGCCGGAAGGCUGAACCAGCCAAGCCGCGUGAAGGACGAAGGUGCUAAGCACUGUAAACUCUUUUUGUCAAGAGACAAAAUCAGGCGCGAGAGUCUGACCGAGGGUACUUUAAGAAAAAGCAUCGGCUAACACCGUGCCAUCAGCGGCGGUAAUAGGGGGGAUGCGGGGGUUGUCCGGAUGUAUUGGGGUUAAAGUGUGCGUAGGGGGACUGUUACGUCAGCGGUAAAAGCCCGGGGCUCAACCCCGGCGAGCCGUUGAAACUGGCUGUCUUGAGAUGUGGAGAGGUGUGCGGAAUGCGCAGUGUAGCGGUGAAAUGCUUAGAUAUAGCGCAGAACUCCGAGUGCGAAGGCAGCAUACCGGCGGCGAUCUGACGCUGAGGCACGAAAGCGUGGGUAUCGAACAGGAUUAGAUACCCCUGUAGUC
rnacentral:rRNA from 1 species